UCAACGGUCUCGUUCCAAACAAAAAGCCUACCACAUGUACGGUUUUAUAUAGCAAGACAUAACUGUAACCGUCAUGUAUGUACGCAUUUUGCAUACAAUGGCGUAGGCAAGUUGCUUUUAUCUCAAGCAGUAGUAAACAGAAACAUGUAAAUAAGAAAUUAAAUUACAUAUUUUUUUUCUUUUUCUUAGAUCGAUACAGCGGGGUGGAAAAUCAACAAAUUCCGAUAAUCAUGAAGCAACCAAGUUACUACAAAAGAAAGAGAAAAAACAUAAUAGGAAGAAGGACAAAGCUAGGACUGAUUAACAAAGCUCUUCUUCGAGGCAGUUAUAUAUCAUAGACUGACAGUGUAAGAAGCUUCCUCCCGAUUUUGUUGUUGAUGAAUGCAUGGCCGAUCCCGGGGCUGUGGGUCGGUGUAGUGGGACGAACAUCUUCUGUCGCCCCCUGAGCGCCGCCGCCAUCUGUGGGAGUGGUCGUGCCCUCGAUCAUCCCUUUCAUAGUGGAAGCAGAGGUAGCAGCUGACUGCAACAGGUAUCUCCUAUUUACUAUCAGAGGAGUGCCGUGAGAUGACGUGAUUUGAGAGGCUAGAAGUAGGACGGCAACCAUUAGAGCAACUUUGCUCAUGUUGUUAGAUGACUUGUACAGUGCCAUAGCUAACCUAAGAGCUGGGAUGCAGUUACUUCAAGCUAUAGCUAUCGUUUGCUGAUGGAUGGCUGCAACCUCCUAAGUGCCUAUUUAUAGGAAUUUGAAGACCAGACAUCAACUGAUUAUACCUAUUAAGAAAUAUGCACAGUGCUCCAAAGAC
rnacentral:lncRNA from 1 species